AACGAACGCUGGCGGCAUGCCUAACACAUGCAAGUCGAACGAGACCUUCGGGUCUAGUGGCGCACGGGUGCGUAACGCGUGGGAACCUGCCCUUAGGUUCGGAAUAACUCCCCGAAAGGGGUGCUAAUACCGGAUAAUGUCUUCGGACCAAAGAUUUAUCGCCUUUGGAUGGGCCCGCGUUGGAUUAGCUAGUUGGUAGGGUAAAAGCCUACCAAGGCGACGAUCCAUAGCUGGUCUGAGAGGAUGAUCAGCCCCACUGGGACUGAGACACGGCCCAGACUCCUACGGGAGGCAGCAGUGGGGAAUAUUGGACAAUGGGCGAAAGCCUGAUCCAGCAAUGCCGCGUGAGUGAUGAAGGCCUUAGGGUUGUAAAGCUCUUUUACCCGGGAUGAUAAUGACAGUACCGGGAGAAUAAGCUCCGGCUAACUCCGUG
rnacentral:rRNA from 1 species